rnacentral:rRNA from 1 species
AACGAACGCUGGCGGCAUGCCUAACACAUGCAAGUCGAACGAAGGCUUCGGCCUUAGUGGCGCACGGGUGCGUAACGCGUGGGAAUCUGCCCUUGGGUUCGGAAUAACUCAGAGAAAUUUGAGCUAAUACCGGAUGAUGACGUAAGUCCAAAGAUUUAUCGCCCAAGGAUGAGCCCGCGUAAGAUUAGCUAGUUGGUGGGGUAAAGGCCUACCAAGGCGACGAUCUUUAGCUGGUCUGAGAGGAUGAUCAGCCACACUGGGACUGAGACACGGCCCAGACUCCUACGGGAGGCAGCAGUGGGGAAUUUUGGACAAUGGGCGCAAGCCUGAUCCAGCCAUGCCGCGUGCAGGAAGAAGGCCUGGUGUAACUAGCUUUGUCGGGUAGAAGUAGUU